AUCUUAAAAUCCAAAUACCGCAUCAGCCAAAAAUUUUGAAAAUGAUCACAAUAAUCUUAAGUAAUAUAUAGCCAUUCAAGAAAAAUAUAAAAAAAAAUUUGUGCAUCCUUUUUCAAUUUUGAUCUUGUAGAUGAGGCAAAGAAUUUUACCAUUGCCGUUAAUUUAAUUGAGUACAAAUAUAAAUUUUAGGAUGUAAAUAUUAUUAAUGUAAACUUUAAAAAAAAUUAUAAUUUACUCACUAUAAAAUUUAUCUACAGUUUUAUUUUUGUCAAAAUAAGGAUGGAAGAGAUCAAGAAGCUGGCUCCACUGGUUUGGCACCUCUCAACUGGGAGAAGUCCAAGUUUAGAUGACGGUGGCAUCUCUUAUUAGAGAGGAAAAAAGGAUGCACCUAUCAACCC
rnacentral:lncRNA from 1 species